GAAAGUAAAUAAGGGCGUAUGGGGAAUGCCUAGGCUCUUGGAGGCGAAGAAAGACGUGGUAAGCUGCGAAAAGCUCCGGGGAUUUGCAAACAAGAUUUGAUCCGGAGAUUUCUGAAUGGGACAACCCGUCAGGUAGAAGACCUGACACAUCGUAAGAUGGGCCAACCCUCUGAACUGAAACAUCUUAGUAGGAGGAGGAAAAGAAAGAAACAUCGAUUUCCUGAGUAGCGGCGAGCGAAAGGGAAAAAGCCUAAACCGGUAUUGUUACGGCAAUGCCGGGGUUGUAGGACUGCAACAUUCAAGUAACAAUGAACUGGAACGAUCUGGAAAGUUCGUCCAUAGAGGGUGAAAGGCCCGUACAGGUAAGUUCGUUAUGCGAUAGCAGUAUCCUGAGUAGGGCGGGACACGAGGAAUCCUGUCUGAAUCCGCCGGGACCACCCGGUAAGGCUAAAUACUCCCAAGAGACCGAUAGUGAACCAGUACCGUGAGGGAAAGGUGAAAAGAACCCCGAACAGGGGAGUGAAAUAGAACCUGAAACCAUACGCUUACAACCGGUCGGAGCAGCUUCGUGCUGUGACGGCGUGCCUAUUGAAUAAUGAGCCUACGAGUUACUAAUCACUGGCGAGGUUAAGUGCACGGAUGCACGGAGCCGAAGCGAAAGCGAGUCUGAACAGGGCGGCUAGUCAGUGGUUGUAGACGCGAAACCUUGCGAUCUACCCUUGAGCAGGUUGAAGGUUGGGUAAAACCAACUGGAGGACCGAACGAAUAAGCGUUGAAAAGCUUCUCGAUGACUUGAGGGUAGGGGUGAAAGGCUAAUCAAGCUGGGAAAUAGCUCGUACUCCCCGAAAUGCCUUUAGGGGCAGCGUUGUAAUUAAGAGUCUACUGGAGGUAGAGCUACUGAUUGGAUGCGGGGGCUUCACCGCCUACCAAAUCCUGACAAACUCCGAAUGCCAGUAGUAUGAUUUACAGCAGUGAGCGACCGGGUGCUAAUGUCCGGUUACGAGAGUGGAACAACACAGACCAGCAACUAAGGUCCCGAAGAGUAUACUAAGUUGAUCUAACGAUGUUUUGCUGCAGAGACAGCUAGGAUGUUAGCUUGGAAGCAGCUAUUCAUUCAAAGAGUGCGUAACAGCUCACUAGUCGAGCGGCAAAGCGUGGAUAAUAAACGGGCAUCAAGUAUACCACCGAAGUUCUGGGCACGAGAGUGCGGUAGGGGAGCAUUCCAUUGACGUCGAAGCCAUUCCGCGAGGAUAGGUGGAGUUUAUGGAAAAGCAAAUGUAGGCAUGAGUAACGAUAAUGCGGGAGAGUAACCCGCACACCGCAAGACCAAGGUUUCCUGAUCAACGCUAAUCGGAUCAGGGUUAGUCGGGUCCUAAGGGUAAGCCGAACGGUGAUCUCGAUGGACAAUCGGUUAAUAUUCCGAUACUAACAUAUACCUCGAUGGAGAGACGAAGGAACGUAAGUGACGCCGCCUGACGGAAUAGGUGGUUAAAGGGCGUAGGUAUAGGGACAGAUUAAGAGUUAGUCCUUGCUGAAACCCGACAGUACGGAGCGGCUACGGCCAAUCUGAUAGUUCACCCAAGUCGACUUCCGAGAAAAUCUUCUAAGUUAUAGUAUAUGUUACCCGUACCGUAAACCGACACAGGUGGUCGAGGAGAGUAUCCUAAGGUGCUCGAGUGAAUCACGGUUAAGGAACUAGGCAAAUUAACCCCGUAACUUCGGGAAAAGGGGUCCCUACGCGAGUAGGGCGCAGCGAAGAGGUCCAGGCGACUGUUUAUCAAAAACACAGGGCUCUGCAAAUUCGAAAGAAGACGUAUAGGGCCUGACACCUGCCCGGUGCUGGAAGGUUAAGAGGGGAUGUCAUCGCAAGAGAAGCAUUGAAUCGAAGCCCCAGUAAACGGCGGCCGUAACUAUAACGGUCCUAAGGUAGCGAAAUUCCUUGUCGGGUAAGUUCCGACCUGCACGAAUGGUGUAACGAUCUGGACACUGUCUCAACCGUGAGCUCGGUGAAAUUGUAGUCCCGGUGAUGAUGCCGGGUACCCGCAACGGGACGAAAAGACCCCGUGAACCUUUACUAUAGCUUAACGCUGAAUUUGGGUACACAAUGUGUAGGAUAGGCCGGAGACAUUGAAGCGGGUACGCCAGUAUUCGUGGAGUCAACGUUGAAAUACGGCCCUUUGUGUACUUGGAUUCUAACCCUUGAUAGGGGACACCGUUUGGUGGGUAGUUUGACUGGGGUGGUCGCCUCCAAAAGCGUAACGGAGGCUU
rnacentral:rRNA from 1 species